UCCGAUCUGGUGAUUUUGGGUAGCAUCUAGGUGUAGGGGUAGGUCAUGUCGAGCUCGCUUGAUACAUGAAUCCGGUUGUCAGUCCUUUAUCUUUUUCAAAGCUUCUAAUUCUCAGUAACUCGGUAAUUCCUUUCUCUCUUUUCCUUUUAGGCAUAAGUUUUUCCUGUUAUACUAAUGUUGAGCGGAGACUCUAGCCUUGACAAGGUGGAGAUCUUGUCCAGACCUGCACCUGUUUUUAUUAACGUCGCCCCUUGUCGCAGUCAACAAGCUCAGCUUGCUUCCAUUCUGGGUAGUAGUUGGUCCCUAUGGAGGCGACCGAAGCAAUUAUCCCUGCCGGCCUUAUUACGUAAUCUGAGAAAGAAGAAGGCCGAAAGUGAGGUAACCCUGAUGGACUAGGCAGCUCUCUUAGAGAAGUAGCAUCUGGUCUUGAAUAAUAUGUCCAGUUUGGAGUCUAACACUUCUUCUAAUGACAUGUAUAUUAUUGGGGGCUCUCAAAGUUAUGGAGCGGUCUUGUAUCCUUCGCUUGUUUUUCUAGAUGUUCCGAGUGACCCAUAGCACGAACAAAGACCAAGCUAGGGCUGGGCGCCAAGGGUGGACAACUCUUCAAUCUCGGAAUGGUCGCGCUCUUUCCCUUCCCUUCGAAGGGUCAGUAAAGAAUUGGAAGGGUGGCUUCUUCAGCGUGGAAGCUCGAGGGACACGCCAUACUUGGGCGUAUGGUCCCGACUACCUCCCCUCUUCCCCUUUUCUUGGAAUGGGGAAAUCCAUCAAAAGUCCACCGACUCCUUCGCUUUCGCAUAUGAACAGUUGGACGAUCGAGAGAAAUGGCGGAACAAGGACAAGUCGCCUGCCAUUCCACCUACCACGCCGCCUGCACAUUCCACCUGCCCCCGACAAGUCAACAAGCGCAGACCUGAAGGAGGAACAAAGACAACCCGACAUAUCCCCAUUGUACCUACCAUGUACUAACCAAUGGCCAGAUGUCAUAUCAGCAGCCCCAAAAUCUUAUAAAUAGAUGAUUCCACACAUGGAGUAUAAUUAUUUUCAUUCCUUCAUUUAUUGCUUGCACUUAUUGUUAUUGCUCUAACUUCUCUCAUAUUUACUCCCAUUCCCUCUUUAAGACUCUAUACUGACUUGAUCAUCGGAGAAUAUUUUCAGGUAACUCCCCCGGCGGAUCCAAACAACAUUCCGACUAAGACUUAUGAUCAUCUCCAUUCUAUCGGGCGUUUGAUACCGACCAUCCCCAUUCAAUACUAAAGAACAUUAGUGUUUAAGAUUAUGAGUGUCUUAACGUCAUGGAUUUUCCAUUUUAUAUACUCCUUUAUUUUAAUAUUGAUAAAUUCUCAAAAUACAACGAUAAAUUUUUUCAAACAAAUAAAAUAAUACUUUUUGAAUAAUCAUCCAUCAUUUUUUAUAUUUUUUUUUGUUCAUUUUAGUUUUCCAUUUCAUCCCCUAAUUAAAUUGUUUUGUUAAGUUUAUUUUGUUCAUUUUAGUUUUCCAUGUCAUCUCCUAAUUGUUUUAUAUUAAAUUAAGUUUAUUUUGAUUUAACCAUGUGCAACCAAAAUUUUAACAUAGCUAAGAAGGACUAUGUGCAAGAGGAAGAGAGAGUGCAGAGAGAUAAGACUGAAAGUACUCACUUAGUUAUGACCUCUCAAAAUAAGAAAAGAAAGAACAAUAAGGAUGUUGCGAAAGGGCUAUUUGUGUUUUCCUCAGAGAAUGUGGAAUUGUUCUACAAUACAUUAUUCCAUGCAAACCUAGCAUGAAGGGUGUUGUUGAGUGAUUAAACUGAACUCUUAAGGAUAUAGUGAGAAGUAUGAUUAGUCAUUCUUCCUUGGUAGAGUCUAUUUGGGGGAAAGCUUUAAAGACUGUAGUUUACAUCCUUAAUAGCAUGCCAAGUAAAGCAGUUAACAAAACCUCAUAUGAUUUUUGGACUGAUAAAAGACCAAGCUUAAAACACUUGCAUUUUGGGUUGUCCAGCUGAGGCACGACCUUAUAGGCUGCAUGAAAGAAAAGUGGACUAAAGAAUAGUUAGCGGUUAUUUUGUUUGCUAUGCUGAACACUCUCGAGACUAUAAAUUUUAUGAUCCCACUUCACGACUUUUUUUAGACGAGAAAUGCAAGAUUUCUUGAGGAAGUUGAAUUUGGGAGGAAGAGAACAUAAAGAAUGUUGUCUUUGAGAAAAAACCUACCACUAAUGGUGAGCAAGUUCUUGUGCCUAUUACCAUUCAAGGAACAACUUCGGUAAUAGAAGAUAAUAUUCAGAAUAUUGUUCCUAAAAAUAUUCUUGAACAAGACAACAAUGAGGUUCUCCCUCAAUUACCUAUAGAAAAUAUUCAAGAACCUCAAGAAGUAAAAAUGUCAUCAAGUAGAUCCACUAGAAAGGAGAAGUGCAAUUCCUGAUGAUUAUAUUGUAUUUCUUUAAGAACAUGAGGAUGACAUUGGGUUAACAUAAGAUGAUCUAUUGAACUUCUAUCAAGCCAUGAAAAGUUAUAAUUCUCAAAAGUGGAUCGAUGCCAUGAAGGAUGAGAUGAAGUCUAUGCAUAAUAAUGACAUUUAGGAUCUUGUCGAAUUACCUAAAGGUGCGAAACCUGUUGGUUGCAAAUAGAUAUUUAAAACGAAGAAGGAUUCGAAGAAUAAUAUUGACAGAUAUAAAGCUCGUCUUGUUGCUAAAUGCUACACUCGGGAAGAGGACAUUGAUUAUAAAGAAACUUUCACUUCAGUAACUUCGAAUGAUCCUUUUAGAAUAAUAUUGGAACUAGUAGCUCAUUUUGAUUUAGAGCUAUAUCAUAUGGAUGUUAAGACUACGUUUCUAAAUGGUGACAUUAAAGAAACGACCUAUAUGGCGCAACUAGGAAAAUUUGUGUUAGUUGGCUCAAAGUCUAUGGUAUGCAAAUUAAAGAAAUUCAUCUAUGGCCUUAAAUAAGCUUUCCAUCAAUGGAAUCACAAUAUUCAUCAAGCUAUUACCUCGUAUAGUUUUGAGGCAAAUAAAGUUGAUAGUUGCAUGUACCAAAGGUUCAGUGAGAGUAAAUUUAUAAUCUUGAUAUUAUAUGUCAAUGAUAUACUGCUUGUUAGCAGUGAUAUGAGACUAUUGCAUGAGACCAAGAGAUUUCUAACGAAGAAUUUCGAAAUGAAAGAUCUUGGAAAAAUUUCUUUUGUAUUAGGUAUUCACAUACUGAGAGAUCACUCUCAAGGUAUCCUAAGGUUGUUACAAUAAAGCUGUAUAGAUAAAGUCCUAGAUAGAUUUGGCAUGAAAUACAGCAAACCAGUGGAUACCCCUAUAGCUAAGAAAGACAAGUUUAGUCUUAAACAGUGUCCCAAAAAUGACCUUGAAAGAUCCGAUAUGCAAAAGAUUUUUCAUGCAUAUGUAGUAGGAAGUCUAAUGUAUGUUCAAGUUUGUACACGUCCCGACAUAACGUUUGUCGUGGGAGUUUUGAAAGUUAUUUGAGCAAUUUUAUAAUGCAUCAGUGGAAGACAAUCAAACAUGUUAUGCGCUACUUAAAGAAAACAAAUGAUUACAUGUUCAGUUAUUAAAUGUAUGAGAAUUUAGAGAUCAUUGGGUAUUUUGACUCCGAUUUUUGGGUGUCUAGACAAUAGACACUCCACCUCUGGAUAUGUGUUUAUCUUGGUUGAAGGUGCUAUAUCUUGGAAGUCUUCUAAAUAGACGCUCAUAGCUCCUUUAAUCAUGGUUGCGGAUUUCAUGGUUUGUUUUGAAACAUCAGACCAUUGCAUAUGGUUGCGGAAAUUUUGUCACUGGUUUACGUGUGGUUGAUGGUACUAAAAGACCACUGAGAAUUUGUUGUGAUAGUAAGUUUGCGGUUCUUUACUCCAACAAUAAUAUGAGUUCUAUAAAGUCAAAAUUUAUUGAUAUCAAGUUUUUGGUUGUUAAAGAAAGUGUUCAAAAUUGACAAAAUUCCAUAUAACAUAUAGGGACAAAUUUAUGCUAGUUGAUCCAUUGACUAAAGGCUUGGUAUCUAAAGUCUUUCAUCAGCAUAUUUCUCAUAUGAGUAUUGCUCCUUAUGAUACUUUGGUUCAAUGUGAGUCUAUAUGUUUUAUGACUUAUUUUGGACGUUAUAUAUAGUUUUAUGCAUAAUAAAGUCAAUGGUUUAUUGUUCUAUUUUGAAGUUAUAUAUUGUAAUUAUUGUGUUGCAAUUAAGGACUUUGGAUUGAUCUUACUAAAUAAUAAAGAAGGACCAGUUGGAAAUAGAUAUGUUUGAGAUCACAUUGCAUGAAAUUUCCAUGUCACUCAUCCAUAUUUGAUUUUUAUCAUUAGUAUAUUAAUAUGAUAUUCAUCGUGGUCGAGUCACGUUUGAAUGUGAUGAAGGUCGCUGUGGUUCUAUAGUUGAUAUAUGAGAUGAACCAGAUUGUAUUAAGGAGAAGUCUAAAUAUAAAUAGCAUACGGAUGUGCGCAUAAAGAAUAUGUGGUAUAAUUGUUUCAUAAAAAAUAUGAAGCUCAAGUGGAAGAUUAUUAGAAGUUUAUAAUUUCUAAUUAAGGUGGACAUCAUAUAUUUAAUACAAUUAUAUCGACUAUUUAUUUCGGGGUUGCAAAUCAAGUGAUCUAAUUAAUGACAACCUAAAAGACUUCUGAAACUUAUAACGAAUAUAAGUUUAAUGAGUGGAUACCCAAACAGUUGGCCUAUAAGAGAUAAUGGGAACCCUAUAAGUUAACACACAAGGAGCGGUUAUGGUCCCUAAGAUACCAAAUCACAAAUAGUUUUCACAUAUCUCCAUCAGAGAGAAAAUGAAGGUCCCAAAAGGAAUUAAUGAUUUGGUUCAGGAAGAUCAUCAUACCAAAACUCUCUCAAAAGAUAUAUCAAAUGAGUAGAUCGGAGAAUAUGGAUUCAAGGAUUCAGAUAUCAUUUUGUAUCCUUGUUUUAUAUAAUGUGUGAGAAUCAUGAGAUUUAAGAUCAUAUGAUUGAUAUUUCAGCAAUCGUUAGUAAAUAUCUAACAUUUUUUUGCUCCCGAAGAAGUCUCAAAUAUUACCCUAAAGAAUAUCUUGUAAAUGGAGAUGAUAGGGGUGUCAGGAGAUCCAACCAACAUAGUAAUGAUAGUGCGAUUGAGAUAAGAUUUGGUGAUUUAGAGGAGGAGACCAAUGUUGAAGACAAGUACUCUUUCAAUUUGGAUGCAAGGAUUGUUCAUGAAAAAACCAGAGAGGAAUGCCAUGUUGUCAUGUCCUUAUUUCUAUUUAUGUAUUUGUUUAAUGUCUAGUUCAAUUGAAAGGUGUCAAGAAAAGUCUUAAAACAAACCUAAUUCAGUGAAAUAUAAUUGAUUAAAGACAGUAAAAAAACAUGAUUUUUUUUGGACAAAUAAUUUUAUGCUAGGAAGACCUAAGAAGAGAAGGAUCAAAGCAUUAAAUUCAUGAGUUGUAUAAACUUUUUUGGUACUACUAAAUAUAUUUUUUACUGUAUGAUUAAGAAAUUAAUCUCUUAUAGGGUGUGUGGUUGUCACUUCUAAUAAAUGCUGCUAUUGAACCCUUAACAUUUUGGUCUUUCUGAGAAUUUAACGAGAUCUUAUAUCACUAGACCAAUGUAUAAUUGGUAUGAGUCAUAUAAACUACAAACCUUUUAAAAAUAGUAAUUUUUUUAUUUUCUAUUAUUAGUAAAUCAAAUCAUACUUGGUGAUAAUCGCCUAUCAGUUUUCAAAAUUGUGUAGUGUUUAAAAUUAUCUAAAAAAUAAUAUGAGCGAGAUAUUAAAUAAAAGAGAGUGAAUCCACUUAUUUUAGGAGUAGGUUCAAAAUACAUACUAUAUAUAUUUAGUAUAUGAAAAUUUAAUGGGUCAUAUGAACUAUGUUUUUUAACUUACUCGUGGAGUAAUGAAUUCCCUCUUCUUUUAGUACUACCAAAAGUAUCAAUUCGCCAUUUUCUUCUCUAAAUGAAAUAUAACAUUUUCUUAUAUAUAAAAUUAUGAAUUAUAUAAUAAAAAUACUCAUCUUUAACUUAAUUUUAUACAUAUAAAAUCUCAACUAAAAGAAGAUAAUAGUAAACUUAGUCCUCUAAAGAUUACAUUGGCAUUAACUUAGGUUGCCUUUAGUUGGGGAGAGUAUGUAGAGAAAGAAAGUAAAAGUGAUGGACCCAUCAACUUUUAGUUUCUUCUCUCAUGUUAGAAGAAAUGGUAAACAAAGAAAGUUUUUUUGUAUUUAUAACAAUGCAUUAGGGCAACUACAAUGAUUGUUCUUAACAUAAUAAGAAUUUGUUCCCCCAUUGUGCUAUUCUUAUUUUCUGAUUUUUAACAGUUUUUUGUUGUUCUUAGUCAAAGGAAAAUGAGGAAAGAGGUAGAUUUUCUAGAAAAAAUAGAUAUUGUGGGACCCAAAUAAAAAUGAAAUUUUUGUUAUCUAUUGGAGAUGUUCUUAGCUUUAUCAAAUCAUCAUUGUUAUUUAAAAGGGUAAAAUUAUCUUUUUAGCAAAAACACAUUUUCUCCCCUUCUAAUUCUUUCAUAUCAAAGAACUCUUACAAUCAACUCAUUUUUUCUUUCUCUCUAGUCAUACUCUUUCUUUUUAUCUUCUCUCCACUCAUACUCAUCCUAUUUUCUUCUGAAAAAAUGUUACUAAACUAUUCCCUUAAAUAUUAUAUUUUUCACCAAGUUAGUGAUUGAAAGAAAUUGUAAUCAUAUUAAGCCAUAUCUUAUCACAUUAGUUUCUUAAAGAACAUAUAUGUUGGUGGUACCGAAUAAGAUGAGAAAUUGUACAAAUAUUAAUAUAUUUAUCAUAAUUGAAUAAUCUUUACUUGACUUUAACUUAACUAUGACAGUUAUCAUUUUUUUAAAAUCAUUAAUCAAUAUGCAAAGAAUUUUUAUAUAACCUAUAUUAUAAAUAUAUGGCCAAGUUCAUGACCAUCCAAAUAUGAUGUUAUAAAUAUUUUACAAAUUUAUCACUAACUUAGUUUUUCAAAGGUCGUGGUGUCAUGACAUAAUUUUCCAAUAAUUUAUUUUAUUAAACUUGUCCAUUAAAAAUUAGAUUUGGUAACACGUAACACGUUAGCCCUUUAUUAACAGAGAUAUUAACUUCAAAAAAAACCUGUCUCUGAAAAAGUAAUACUUUCAGCUUUUUGAAAUAUAGUCUUUGAAGAUUAAUCUAAUAAUUUUUUAUCCUCUUUAAUACUAGAGGUCAAAUAUUUGAAUUCGGAGCUCAAAUUAUUUUUAUGAUAUACUAGGUCAAAUAUCCGACGAAUGAUAUUACAUAUUCAAUUUUUAUAUAUUAUAUUUUUUUUGUUUAUGAUAAUGUUUAAUUUAAUGUGAGAUAUGUGAUUAAUUAAUGCAUUGGUGGUAGUUGCUUAGGAUUAUAUAGUUUUUUUUGUAAAAAUUAAAUAAUGUUAAGAGGAAUACAAAAAAUAUUACACCAUGAGGGAAGUUAUUUCAAGUUUUGGCUUUAUAUAUAUAUAUUAUAUUUCAAAUUUGCACCGUCCAUUUCCUUUGUUUUUUCAAAACACAUAUCAUAAUCUUUUCUUUUAAAUUUCCUGGAGGGUAAAAAAAGAUGUAAUGAGAUUAAUCUAAUUACAAAUUUAUUUGAGAACCAAGUUGAUGAUUCAUCUUUACAUGCGAAAUUAACCAUAUGGAUCCUCGAAAAACCAAAACUUUGGUUGAAAUGGAUAUGUUCACUUCAAAGGAAAAUAACUCCGUUUCUACACGUUCGUUUUAUAGCGUGUGUUAGGUGAAGACUGUUCUAGUUCCUUUGAGAGCCUCGAAAUCCUUUACCUUUUCAUCAAAUUUGAAUUCUUUCAAUGGAAUUGCUGGUAACUACUCUAACAACAAGCCUCUCUCUCUUUUCUUCUGUCUGUGUAUUGCAAUUUCUAAUUUUUUGCAUUGAAAAAACUUCAGGAGAAGCUGAAGAUGCAGAAGAAAAAACAACCAGACAAUAACGAAGUCGAAGGUGGUCCUGUGUUUUGGUUUGAAACCUCUGUUUCUGUUUCUCGCCGCUUUCAGUUUGAACCACAGGGCCAACUUUCUGUAUGUUCCUCUCUCUCUCUCUGUAUUGAUGUGUAAAUUAUAAUGAUAAAUGGGUAUUGGGUCUAUGUGUGAUUGAAUUGUGGAUGUAUAAUGUAGUAGUAUAAAUAGGUUUAGGGUUAAUUGUGUUUGUGAUAAGCAAAAGAAAGAAAAAGAGUAGGUAGCAGAUAGAAAAUGAUGUGUAAGAGUAAUAAGUGAUGGGCACUUUUGAUUUGAGAAGAAUAUUUGCAAGGUACCACUUUUGUACACUUUCUUUGAGGGGAAAAGUCUAGUUUCUCAAGCUAGGGAUUAACAUUUUAUGUUUUGUACCUUUGUUCAUUGUUAGUAUCAUAUUAUUAGGUAAAUGAUAGUACUUAAUAUGUUUGUAAUGAGCCAAUGACUAAUGCUAACCAUUAAAACAUUGAUUCUGUAUUUUCACUUAAUGUGAUUUUAUGUUUAUUUUAUACUAAUUUUAUAUGUUGAAGCAUAGCCGUUUUGUAAUAUAAUUUAUAUAACUGCUGUGUCAUGAUAUCCUUGCUUUAUGAAUUUGUAUCCUAUAUUCCUAUGUCAUCUACUCAUAUGUGUGCUUCCUAGAUGAGUUUCUUUGAAGUCUAGGUUUGGCCAAUCCUUUCCUUUCAUUACCCGGAAAAAAUGUAUAUUUUAUUUUUCGUUUUCUAUGCAGGUAAAGAUUGUUGAUGAUUCCAGACCAUUGCACAGCAGGGUUGUUGAGUCUUUCCUGCAUAAAUUUUUCCCUUCUGGAUAUCCAUACAGGUAGUUUGAUUUUUUAUUGAAUAUGUUGCAAGGCAUAGUUAUUAUAUCUUAGACAAGCUAGUUUAGAUUUUUAGUGUUCAAUUUGCAGUGUGAAUGAAGGCUACCUUACCUACACUAAGUUUCGAGCAAUGCAACACAUUACCAGUGCAGCACUAUCAGUGUUAUCAACUCAGGUCUUCUUCUGAUAACUUGAAAACCUCAGCAAAGCAUGUAACCAUAAAAAAGUUCACGUCUUUGAUGUUCUAAAAUAAAAUCCAUUUACCUAGCCACUGAAAGAAAAGGGUGGUCCAGUGCACGAGGCUCCCACCUAGUUGGGUCUGGAGAGGGUAGAUGUGUACAAUCUUACCCUUGCAAGCAAAGACGUUGUUUCCAGGAUUUGAACACAUAACCUCUAGGUCAUAAGGCAAGCAACCUUACUGUUGCGCCGAGGCUCACCCUCUAAAAAGGAAGCCUAGUGUUACUGAAUGUAUGAUGUUUUCCAUUUCAUAUUUGAUUUAUUCCUUAUAUAGUAUAGAAAAUAUUUCAAUGCCUCUUUGGCUGGUACAAUUCAUUUAGUGGUUGUAAUUUUUACAAAAAGAAUCUAUAUGAAACAAUUGUGUGUGAAGUCUAUGUCUUUGGUCUGUAUGCUUAUUCUUCUGCAGUCACUGUUAUUUGCUGCAGGCUUGCGUCCCACUCCUGCACAAGCAACUGCUGUUAGCUGGGUAAAUUGAUACUACAUUCCAAUUGACUAUUUCUCGGACCAGUCGUGGUGGCAUCCAUUUACGAUAUAACAUUUUUUUUCUCUUGUUGGCGUCCAGAUUUUAAAGGAUGGCAUGCAACAUUUAGGGAAUCUGAUAUGUAGUAAUUUGGGUGCAAGAAUGGAUUCAGAGCCUAAACGUUGGAGAAUUCUAGGUUUGCAAUUGAGCUGUUGCUUUUCAUUUUUUCUUGUAUUAGCUCUUAUGACACUAUCAAGGUUUUUGACUGCAAUAAUCAUUGCAUCGCGCAGCCGAUGUGCUCUAUGACGUUGGCUCUGGAUUGGAAGUGCUUUCUCCCUUAUGCCCACAUCUCUUUCUUGAAAUGGCAGGCCUAGGCAAUUUUGCUAAGGUAUAAUUUUUAUUGAAUUUCUUAAAUUAAUUUUACAUGUUGGUAUUUGUUGCUAACAUGCUAUGUAAAGUUGAUAUGAUGCUAAUUGUUGAUUCAUGCAUCUGUAUGUCAUGAUAAAGAACUUUAAUGUCAUAGUGAAAGUGACUGCUCAUUAACCUAUUGUUAUUGUUUUAAUCAGUUCAUGUUUACUCUUAGUCUGCUUAAAAUUGGUGUAAAGCCAUUUACAAAAUUUAAAUUUUAAAUAUUGAAACAAAAUAUGAAAGAGAGAGAGAAUGAAAGGCUCAGAGAGAUGUUAUGCUAUAAACGGAUGAGAGAGGCUAUAAUAGUUGGAUUAGAAAAAAUUCUAUGAAAUAGAGUUCGUAAAGAACCAGUUUCCCCCGCUUAGGCGCCUGCCCUGGGAGAUUGGUCUUUCACAUAUCGGGUGGGAGGAUACUUUGGAAAACCAAAAAAAUAAAUAAAAAGUUAGGUAGUUACGAAACACUGUUCAUUUGAAAGGUAGCUCUUGUGCUCUUACAUAUCUAGUUUUUAGAAUUCCAGACAUCCCUUUAUCUUUAUAUUAUUCUGUAAUCAACAGGGGAUGGCAGUUGUUGCAGCAAGAGCUACAAGGUUACCUAUAUAUUCUGCGUUUGCCAAAGAAGGAAAUCUCAGUGACCUAUUUGCUAAAGGGGAGGCUAUUUCGACUCUCUUCAAUGUUAUUGGAAUUGGAGUUGGAAUUCAAUUAGCAUCUACUGUAUGUUCGUCAAUGCAGGGAAAGGUAAAAUGUCUAUAUAGAUUAUCUUUGCUUGUUCUUGGGAGUUUAGUGUUCAAUAUUUUCUUCAGUUUUUGACUCACAUAAGAAUUUGCGCAAACCACCCAUGAUUGUCGCCAUUGUUUGUUACUGGAAUGGGUGAAGAUUGUUGCGCAGGUUGAGAUCAGAAAUUUGAUGUUUUCUAUUGAAUGUGGUGGCAAAGUUGUAGAUUAAAUGUAGCUUAUGAAGUCAUCCCCAAGGGUAUGGAUCAUAGAUAUUGUUUAUUGGAAAUUAGAACAAUUACUAAAAAAAUAUGAAAGCAAGUGAUUUUUUUUCUAGUUUUCUUAUAGAGAUAUAAAUAUGCUUUGUCAUAUUUUAAUGAUAAAUAUACAUUUUAUUUAUGAUUCCAAACUGAUGGAUUAUGAAAUGUUUCUUGUUAGUUGGUUGCGGGGCCUAUACUUUCAGUUCUACAUGUAUACAGCGUCAUCGAAGAAAUGAAAGCUACUCCUAUCAAUACCUUAAAUCCACAAAGAACUGCAAUGAUUGUGGCUGAUUUUCUCAAGGUCUGCUUUACAAUAUUAUCAUAAAUGAAUGUUCUCUUGUUUCCCUUUAAUUAAAAAGAAAUUGAAAUGCUGUUUGACUGAUAUUUGAAUUCCAAACCAGGCAGGAAAUGUAUCAAGCCCUGCUGAUCUCAGAUAUGGAGAAGAUUUGCUAUUUCCGGGGCGUCUCAUAGAAGAUGCCGGAAAUGUGAGAGUGGGUAGGGCUGUGCACAAGGUUAUUAAGCCUUCAAGGUUUGUUGAAUUAAAACAAAUGUUCCCCGAGGAAAAGUUUCUUUUAAAUCGAGGCGAUAAAUGCAUUGAUAUGGUACUGGCAAAAGACGCGGUCGGCGAAGAUGCAUUGAGAGGGUGGCUAGUUGCUGCAUACGCUGCACAAAUCGACAAGUCCUCUCAUGAGCUCAGUGCCAGUACCCUGCAAGAGGCCUAUGAGAGAAUGAGUGAUGUCUUCCCUGUGUUUUUAAAUGAAUUACAGAACAAAGGGUGGCAUACUGAUCGUUUUCUGGAUGGAACCGGGAGCCGCUUUUCCUUAUAGUGUUCAAAUAGAUCCUAUAUUGACCUGAGUAGGUUUUGUAACCCUUUUUGUGAUAUAGGAUGCAUUGCAGUUAAUGGUUCAGAUAAGUUGAACUUGAUCUCACUCUUUUUCUGCAUUGCUGGAUGGAAUGUUAUAGCUUUGGUUUUAUUGUUCUUCUUUCUCUUGCAAGUUGCAACAAUGUAGAAUAUAUUCAUGGUAUUCUCAGGACUUGUGUUUGACCUUGUUUUCUUCUCUUGGUGUUGUCCUUUUACUAUUAUUAAUUUGCAAUAAAGAAUGUAUGACUCUGGAAUAGUGAAAAGUGUUAUUUGCAUAAUUAAUAAACAUCAGAACUCAGAAGGCAAGUUUUGAUCACUGACAGAAUUUGAAGAUAUGGUACAAACAUUAAGACAUACCGGAAAUUCAUUUGUUUAUAGUAGAUCUUGAAACAAUGUUAAGUAAUCUAUCUUUUAUAUUUCUCAAAAUACUCUUCAGGAAUAGCUAAAACAAGAAAAUUGUUCCAAGAAAAUUCCUUCAAGCUUGUGUAUUCUGAUGAGCAAUUUUAUGGAGUUUAUAAGACUGCUCUUCCACAGUCUUGUCAUUUGAUACUUAAGGUAUCGGAUUAUAAUAUAUUUCUUCGUUCUAGCUUUCUCAAUGUUUUACUUCUUCCUGAACACAUCUCCUACCUAUUAGGAGAGUUGUUUAUAGAAUAAUAGUCAUAUAGGUCAUCUCACAACUUAUUAAAGAUGGAAUUUUUGAACAAAAAAAUCAUUCUCCAUCAAAACAGACAAAUCCUUAUUUUGUUUUUCUUUUUCCUCUUAAGUUGCAAAUCCAGUAUACUAUUAAAAGAUGUUGUCACUUAGCACAUGAUAAUACUCUAAGAAAAUUAAUCUUUCACCCCCUAAGUGGAGCUGUUUGAAAAUUAAAAAGCAUAGUUAGUUCUACAUAAAUUUUAUCUCACAUAAAAAAAAUAAAACAAAAGAUGAAAAGAUAAUAACAAAACUUCAAAAGUAACAUUUUAUCAUGGCGCAAAAGUACUAUUAUAUUAUAUGCAAACUCUGCAAUUUACAUAGAUAAGGAGGCUUGGAAGUACACAAGGCCAUAUUUUAUUACUAAACGUUACUACAAGUUCUCAACAUCCAAAACUUAUUUUAUUUUAAGAUGGCCACCUUAUUUCAACACCAUUGUUAUUUUCUUAUGCAACCUUAGGAAGGGUGUGAUCCUCAGACUCAGACUGAGGACUAACCAAAGGACCCUGGUUUCCACUGUACUUGAGCUGGCUCACCUGAUUCAGGCGAAGACCGAAAGCAUUGGCAAGAACCUCUGCAGGGAUGCCCCUAAACACUUGCUUAACUGGGCUAGUUGCAGCUAAGUCAUUUGUUUUGAAUGCUAUGAACUCAAAUCCUUCAUCCCCUGCUUGGUGUGCCACAACAAAGUUCUGUGGCACCACUAGAAGUUGUCCCCUUCUAAGGUCAUCAUUGAAAACUGAGUUGCCUUGGCAAUUCACCACUUGAACCCUUCCUCUUCCUCUAGUCACAAAGAUCACACUGUUUGCAUUGAUGUUCCAGUGUGGAGCAUAUAUACCAUUCUGCAUGCAUACACUAAUUUCAUGUUAAUAUAAAAUCAUGUUCAUAUAUAUACCAUAUUAUGAUAAGACAGAAUAAUAACAAUUGAUGUGUAUUUCAUAUUAAAACUAUUAGUGUCUAUUUUCGAGUUGGAUUAUGGAGGGGAAUGAAAAGAAAAGAAGGCUCGAGAGCCAUGAAAUACACUUUUCAUUAUUUCCCUUCCAAAACUUAACUCACAUAAGAACCCUCAUGAGAAGUUGUUGAAAUAAUAGUGGCUAAAGUUAAGGUGAUUAAUUACCCUGUAGAGGUUAACAUAGUCAGCACUAAGUUGGAACCAUCUGAGAAUUGGGAGGGUCAAGCUAUUGACACUGCUGAUGCGGCCAGCAUUUGGGUUGUAGAGAUCAGCACGCGAAGGUUUAGCAAUGUUCUCUAGAAGCCUAGCAGUGCAGAUAGUUUCCUCAAGUCCAUUUCUACUUUCUUGUCUCUUUCUCCUUCCUUGUUGUUGCUGCUGCUCUUCUUCUUCUUCCUCUCUUUGUUGUCCUGAUCUGCGUCCUCUACCUCCGUGGCGUCCUCGCCUUCCUUCUUGUUGUUCCUCUUCUUGUUCUUGUUCUUGUCCUUGUUCUUGUCCUUGUUCUUGUCCACGCCCUCUUCCUUGCUGGCGACGCACUCGAGUACUUGUUUCUUCUUCCUCCUCCUCUCCUUCUUCUCCUUGUGCACGUCUGUGUCGGGUUGUUCUCUCCCAUUCACGCUGCUGUCCUCUUCCUUCCUGCUCUGACUCUGACUCUUCUUCCUGCUCUUCUCCUUGGCGUCCUUGUUGUCUUCCCGGACGCCUUCUAGAUUGACGCUCAUAGCGUUCUCGAGAGCGAGGUUCAUCCUCUUCUUCUUCUUCCUCUUUCUCCUCUUCUCUUCUUUCCUCUCUUCGUUCAGGCUGUCCUCUCUGGCGCGGUUCUUCUUCUUCUUCUUCCUCUUCUUCUUGCGACUUGGGGCUGAUAAUGCUGAGACCUCUCUUCACUCUCACAAUUUGCUUCAAACGUUCAUCUGGGUUUUGUAGUCUGUUUAUAAUCUCCUCAUCAACGUUGAACGCUUGAGUCAAAAAUUGUGG
rnacentral:lncRNA from 1 species